UACAGAGGUCUCAAGCGUUGUUCGGAUUCAUUGGGCGUAAAGGGCGCGUAGGCGGCGGGGUAAGUCGGGUGUGAAAUCUCAGAGCUCAACUCUGAAAUGGCACUUGAUACUGCUCUGCUAGAGGACUGGAGAGGAGAUUGGAAUUCACGGUGUAGCAGUGAAAUGCGUAGAUAUCGUGAGGAAGACCGGUGGCGAAGGCGGAUCUCUGGACAGUUCCUAACGCUGAGGCGCGAAGGCCAGGGGAGCAAACGGG
rnacentral:rRNA from 1 species